rnacentral:rRNA from 1 species
CGCAUGGUUUUACUAUUAAAGAAUUUCGGUUAUCGAUGGGGAUGCGUUCCAUUAGUUUGUUGGCGGGGUAACGGCCCACCAAGACUACGAUGGAUAGGGGUUCUGAGAGGAAGGUCCCCCACAUUGGAACUGAGACACGGUCCAAACUCCUACGGGAGGCAGCAGUGAGGAAUAUUGGUCAAUGGACGAGAGUCUGAACCAGCCAAGUAGCGUGAAGGAUGACUGCCCUAUGGGUUGUAAACUUCUUUUAUAUGGGAAUAAAGUAUUCCACGUGUGGAAUUUUGUAUGUACCAUAUGAAUAAGGAUCGGCUAACUCCGUGCCAGCAGCCGCGGUAAUACGGAGGAUCCGAGCGUUAUCCGGAUUUAUUGGGUUUAAAGGGAGCGUAGGUGGAUUGUUAAGUCAGUUGUGAAAGUUUGCGGCUCAACCGUAAAAUUGCAGUUGAAACUGGCAGUCUUGAGUACAGUAGAGGUGGGCGGAAUUCGUGGUGUAGCGGUGAAAUGCUUAGAUAUCACGAAGAACUCCGAUUGCGAAGGCAGCUCACUAGACUGCAACUGACACUGAUGCUCGAAAGUGUGGGUAUCAAACAGGAUUAGAUACCCUGGUAGUCCACACAGUAAACGAUGAAUACUCGCUGUUUGCGAUAUACAGUAAGCGGCCAAGCGAAAGCAAUAAGUAUUCCACCUGGGGAGUACGCCGGCAACGGUCCC